UACAGAGGGGGCAAGCGUUAUUCGGAAUUAUUGGGCGUAAAGGGCGCGUAGGCGGCUUGGCAAGUGGAAGGUGAAAUCCCUCGGCUUAACCGAGGAACUGCCCUCCAAACUGCUUUGCUUGAGGCCGAGAGAGGUGAGUGGAAUUCCCAGUGUAGCGGUGAAAUGCGUAGAUAUUGGGAGGAACACCUGCGGUGUAGACGGCUUACUGGACCAUAACUGACGCUGAGGCACGAAAGCGUGGGUAGCAAACAGG
rnacentral:rRNA from 1 species